GACGAACCACCCAAACGUUAUUCGGAAUCACUGGGCUUAAAGCGUGCGUAGGCGGCCCGGUAAGUUAGGUGUGAAAUGCCACAGCUCAACUGUGGAAUUGCGCUUAAAACUACCGGGCUCGAGGGAUAUAGAGGUGAGCAGAACAGAUGGUGGAGCGGUGAAAUGCGUUGAUAUCAUCUGGAAUACCGGAGGCGAAGGCGGCUCACUGGGUAUCUUCUGACGCUGAGGUACGAAAGCCAGGGGAGCGAACGGG
rnacentral:rRNA from 1 species